AUAGCGUAUAUUAAAGUUGUUGCAGUUAAAAAGCUCGUAGUUGAAAUUUGGGCCUGGACGGGCGGUCCGCCGCAAGGCGUUGUACUGUCUGGCUGGGUCUUUCCUCUUGGUGAAUCGGCGUGUCCUUCACUGGGUGCGUCGGGGAACCAGGACAUUUACCUUGAGAAAAUUAGAGUGUUCAAAGCAGGCAGUUUUGCCCAAAUACAUUAGCAUGGAAUAAUGAAAUAGGACGUGCGGUUCUAUUUUGUUGGUUUCUAGAGUCGCCGUAAUGAUUAAUAGGGACAGUUGGGGGCAUUAGUAUUCAGUCGCUAGAGGUGAAAUUCUUGGAUUGACUGAAGACUAACUAUUG
rnacentral:rRNA from 1 species